UCGACAGUAAGUAUUUUUGUUUUGCCAAAAAAAGAAGAAGAACUAAACACUUAUAUUAAUUACUUGAUUUAAUUAAUUAAAUAAAAUAAAUAAUACUGUUUGUUUAUUUAAUCUGGCACCACAGAAUAAAAGAGGUUGUGGUGGACCAGAAUAAAAUCCUGUAAAAAAUGGAGAAUUUACUGCUGUGGGUGACCUGUGCACUCAUUGUGGUGUCCCACUUAUCAAAGGUCAAAGUUGAGGGAGGUAACGUUUAUGUGACCACUGAUAAAAAGAGGAUUUUGUGGUUUACUGAAGGGGCUCAGCAAAUUCAUGAAAAUGCUUUACAACAAAGGUAAAGUCUGUUAACACAGAGGUUAAAACCCUGACUUUCAAGGAUGGCACUACCCAACACUAAGACCAGCUCCUGAUUUCUGGCAGGUUAGAUCAUAGUUUGUUU
ensembl:lncRNA